AGGAGCAACAGCCCUAGUGGCGGGGCCAGCUCUGGAGCCCUGGAGUCAGCCCCCACAGUAGCUCCGGAGCUCUCCGUCUGCAGGGCCUGGAGGCUCCGGGGCGGG
rfam:Canis lupus familiaris chromosome 4, whole genome shotgun sequence.